GCGCGCUGAGCGAGCAGGCGGGGCGGGAGCGCCCACAGCUCGGAGCCACCAGGCGCUGACGAGGAGCCCGGCUGAGGGAGGAUGCGCCGGUGACGCCUGCGGGAGCCGCGCGCCUGGGCGGGAGGAUGCUCCAGAGGGGCCUCUGGCCGUGGCGCGCGCGGCUGCUGCCGACCCCUGGCACCUGGCGCCCAGCGCGCCUGUGGCCGCUGCCGCCUCCGCCCCAGGUUUUGUGUGUGAAGCUGUGUGGAAAUGUGAAAUACUACCAGUCACACCAUUAUAGUACCGUGGUGCCACCUGAUGAAAUAACAGUUAAUUAUAGACAUGGCCUUCCCUUGGUAACACUUACCUUGCCAUCUAGAAAAGAACGUUGUCAAUUUGUAGUCAAACCAAUGUUGUCAACAGUUGGUUCAUUCCUUCAGGACCUACAAAAUGAAGAUAAGGGUAUCAAAACU
rnacentral:sRNA from 1 species